rnacentral:rRNA from 1 species
UACAGAGGGUGCAAGCGUUAAUCGGAAUUACUGGGCGUAAAGCGAGCGUAGUCGGUUAUUUAAGUCGGAUGUGAAAUCCCCGGGCUCAACCUGGGAAUUGCAUUCGAUACUGGAUAGCUAGAGUUCGGCAGAGGGAAGCGGAAUUUCUGGUGUAGCGGUGAAAUGCGUAGAUAUCGGGAGGAACACCAGUGGCGAAGGCGACUUCUGGCCUGUUCUUGACGCUGAGGCGCGAAAGCUAGGGGAGCAAACGGG